AUGAACGCUGGCGGCGUGCCUAAUACCUGCAAGUCGCGCGAACAGACGAGGAGCUUGCUCCUCUGACGUUAGCGGCGGACGGGUGAGUAACACGUGGAUAACCUACCUAUAAGACUGGGACAACUUCGGGAAACCGGAGCUAAUACCGGAUAAUAUAUUGAACCGCAUGGUUCAAUAGUGAAAGACGGUUUUGCUGUCACUUAUAGAUGGAUCCGCGCCGCAUUAGCUAGUUGGUAAGGUAACGGCUUACCAAGGCAACGAUGCGUAGCCGACCUGAGAGGGUGAUCGGCCACACUGGAACUGAGACACGGUCCAGACUCCUACGGGAGGCAGCAGUAGGGAAUCUUCCGCAAUGGGCGAAAGCCUGACGGAGCAACGCCGCGUGAGUGAUGAAGGUCUUCGGAUCGUAAAACUCUGUUAUUAGGGAAGAACAAAUGUGUAAGUAACUAUGCACGUCUUGACGGUACCUAAUCAGGAAGCCACGGCUAACUACGUG
rnacentral:rRNA from 1 species